GAUGAGUUUUGCUAGAGUUAUUAGCAAAAAGUCGAUCGACAAAACCAGACGUGAUUGUGGCAAGUCUUAUAUAUGUAGAUAUAGCCUACACAAAACUUACAUAAUCCCUCGUGGCGAAGUUUUCUUGCAAGCCAUAAAUUCAAAGGAAUCUGUGUUGAUCUGUGCUAGUGCCUAGUGAAAACAAUAAUCAACCAAGUACAGAAGUCAGGAGCCCUAUCUUUCUUAGCAGCCUAAGUGCGCAUAAGUGCAUAUACGGGGUGCUCUACGAGAGGCGUAUCACCGAAGUGAUCCCCCAAUCUACAAGGGGUAGAAUUCGAUUCCCCCCUCUUCUGCACCGAAACGCCGAGCCCCGAAAACCUCUGACUUGGGUCAACAUUAGUGAGGCGUAGCAACCCUUAGGAAGCUCAGCGCGUAAGGCGGCGCCUCGGAACCUUUCACCAGCGCCACUGAGACCACCAGUUUGUCGCGCACUUUAGUGCUUAUGUAAGCGGCAGAUCGACAUCAAGCCGGAUGUUCCACAUUUUAGCCCAGUGUCCAGAGCUAGAACAUUGGGCGUGAUUUUGACGGACCUGACUAUAGAGGAGCCACCGCCAACAGCAAGACAGAUGUCCGGAGUUAUGCUGUGUUAAUUUGCACAUUUUCUGGGACUAAGUUCAAUAUGCCAUUUUAAGGCCAAUUCUCUGGCGGUUAAGUAUAUAUAUAUUCAAGCAUCGGGAAUCAUGAGUGUUUGUAGAAAAGAGUGGAUACCAGCACCUACGUCAUCCUUGAGCUCAACGAUUACGAAAGGAGUAAGGGUGUUAAAAUACCAAAACCAAAAGAAAACUGUGAGUUUGUAAACUUAAAACCAUAUAUGCACAGAGUAUAACCGUAACCUGCGUGUUACUAAAUAUUUAAUCAUAACCGUAAUGGGUUGAUACCUCUCGCCGCCCUUUAUUCUAUUAACCAAAUCUGAUUCUUAGUCCGUAUACUUACUGCCGCCACUAUAUUCAUAUAUAAAUUAUUGAAGUCUUAAAUUCUUAUAAGCUAAAAUAAGUAU